GNGAGGCAGCAGUAGGGAAUCUUCCACAAUGGACGCAAGUCUGAUGGAGCAACGCCGCGUGAGUGAANAAGGUUUNCGGAUCGUAAAGCUCUGUUGUUGGUGAAGAAGGAUAGAGGUAGUAACUGGCCUUUAUUUGACGGUAAUCAACCAGAAAGUCACGGCUAACUACGUGCCAGCAGCCGCGGUAAUACGUAGGUGGCAAGCGUUGUCCGGAUUUAUUGGGCGUAAAGCGAGCGCAGGCGGAAGAAUAAGUCUGAUGUGAAAGCCCUCGGCUUAACCGAGGAACUGCAUCGGAAACUGUUUUUCUUGAGUGCAGAAGAGGAGAGUGGAACUCCAUGUGUAGCGGNGGAAUGCGUAGAUAUAUGGAAGAACACCAGUGGCGAAGGCGGCUCUCUGGUCUGCAACUGACGCUGAGGCUCGAAAGCAUGGGUAGCGAACAGGAUUAGAUACCCUGGUAGUCCAUGCCGUAAACGAUGAGUGCUAAGUGUUGGGAGGUUUCCGCCUCUCAGUGCUGCAGCUAACGCAUUAAGCACUCCGCCCUGGGGAGUACGACCGCAAGGUUGAAACUCAAAGGGAAUUGACGGGGGCCCGCACAAGCGGUGGAGCAUGUGGUUUAAUUCCAAAGCAACGCGGAAGAACCUUACCAGGGUCUUGACAUCCAUAGCCCAGUCCUAAAGNAGAUUAGAUGNUCCCUUCGGGGGACUAUNANAAAGGUGGUUNCAUGGCU
rnacentral:rRNA from 1 species